AUCCAGCUGACGAGUCCCAAAUAGGACGAAGAUCGCGUCCUGGAU
rnacentral:hammerhead_ribozyme from 1 species